GACGAACGCUGGCGGCGUGCUUAACACAUGCAAGUCGAACGGAAAGGCCCUGCUUUUGUGGGGUGCUCGAUUGGCGAACGGGUGAGUAACACGUGAGUAACCUGCCCUUGACUUUGGGAUAACUUCAGGAAACUGGGGCUAAUACCGGAUAGGAGCUCCUGCUGCAUGGGGGGGGUUGGAAAGUUUCGGCGGUUGGGGAUGGACUCGCGGCUUUUCAGCUUGUUUGUGGGGUAGUGGCUUACCAAGGCUUUGACGGGUAGCCGGCCUGAGAGGGUGACCGGCCACAUUGGGACUGAGAUACGGCCCAGACUCCUACGGGAGGCAGCAGUGGGGAACCUUGCACAAUGGGCGGAAGCCUGAUGCAGCAACGCCGCGUGCGGGAUGACGGCCCUCGGGUUGUAAACCGAUUUCGACUGUGACGAAGCGUGAGUGACGGUAAUGGGUAAAGAAGCACCGGCUAACUACGUG
rnacentral:rRNA from 1 species